rnacentral:lncRNA from 1 species
GAAUCUUUAGUUUGCUUAUGUCUAGAUGACUGAUCUAGUGGUGGUUCUUUAACACAAUCUCUCUCUCUUCAUUGAAAUGUUCUCUUACUUUCUGUAUGUUCUAAUUUUAAUCCUCUAUCUUGUUUUAACUUGUUGAACAUUUAAACUCUGAGCUUUCUGAAUUCUUUCUCUGACAUUUCCUACUCUGUGGUGUUUAUGGAGUCAGUUGUUGUGGCCUGUAUUGGAUGGUUUGUUCUCUUGCUUUUUCCAUAUUGUUUAUAUGUCUAUCCAUGUAUUGGGAUGUUUAUCACUUCUUUUAUCCAGGGGGCUAUUUUUCUGAGCUUUUUUCUUUAAGAGGCAUGGACUGGGUGAAUAUUUAGGUAUUGAUAAUUUAAUUCAGUGUGUGGCCUCCUUUGAGAGAAGCUACUGAACCCUAUUUAGUACAAUCACUUCAGAGCAAAGCCAUGUACUAUUCAACCUUAUGAAAAAUGAAAAACUUGUUGAUACUCUUUUCCACAGUUCCUUUAAUUCCAGGACAUAACUAUAGUAAAGUUUUGGAAUAAGUAGGUUCAAAAAUUAAUUAUUAAAUAUAAUAAAAUUGCUAUAACGUUAUAGGGCUCAAAGGCGUAAGAGAGAAAAACUUCGUCAAAAGAGAGAAAAUAAAGGAGGAAAGCUAGAAAGAAUAAUACAAACCAAGGUAAAAAGAAGAAAAAGAUGAAUGGGUGGAUUUCAGGAAGUAGCAGAUAAUUUAAGAGUAAAAAGAGGGGAUAAGAGCAGAAAGUAUAGAUCAUUCUGCUUGAUCAGAAUGAUUCCAAUCAAUGCUUUAAAAUUUUAGAAGAGAGCUGGGGUUGUGGCUCAGCGCUCGCCUAGCACAUGUGAGGCCCUGGGUUCAAUCCUCAGCAUCAGAUAAC